rnacentral:tRNA from 1 species
GAAGGUGUAGCUCAAAGAAGGCUUGUAGCCUUUAGGUAGAGCGGUUGCAAAGCCGACUGGUUCUCGGUUCAAAUCCGAGCGCCUUCC